rnacentral:rRNA from 1 species
AGAGUUUGAUCAUGGCUCAGAAUCAACGCUGGCGGCGUGCCUCAGACAUGCAAGUCGAACGAUUAAACUUCCUUUACGGGGAAGAUAUAAAGUGGCGUACGGGUGAGUAACACGUAGGUAAUGUACCUUUGGGUGGGGAAUAACUUAGGGAAACUUAAGCUAAUACCGCAUAAUGCAGCGGCUCGAUAUCGAGACAGUUGUUAAAGGAGUAAUCCGCCUAAAGAGCAGCCUGCGGCAGAUUAGCUAGUUGGUAAGGUAAUGGCUUACCAAGGCUACGAUCUGUAACCGACCUGAGAGGGUGGUCGGUCACACUGACACUGAAUAACGGGUCAGACUCCUACGGGAGGCAGCAGUCGGGAAUUUUGGGCAAUGGGCGAAAGCCUGACCCAGCAACGCCGCGUGAAGGAUGAAGUCUCUCGGGAUGUAAACUUCGUAAGAAUAGGAAGAAUAAAUGACGGUACUAUUUGUAAGGUCCGGCUAACUACGUG